UGCGUAGGUGGUUGUUUAAGCGUGGGGUGAAAGGCAAUAGCUUAACUAUUGUAAGCCCCGCGAACUGGGCGACUUGAGUGCAGGAGAGGAAAGCGGAAUUCCUAGUGUAGCGGUGAAAUGCGUAGAUAUUAGGAGGAACACCAGUGGCGAAGGCGGCUUUCUGGACUGUAACUGACACUGAGGCACGAAAGCGUGGGGAGCAAACAG
rnacentral:rRNA from 1 species